rnacentral:rRNA from 1 species
GACGAACGCUGGCGGCGUGCUUAACACAUGCAAGUCGAACGGAAAGGCCCUGCUUUUGUGGGGUGCUCGAGUGGCGAACGGGUGAGUAACACGUGAGUAACCUGCCCUUGACUUUGGGAUAACUUCAGGAAACUGGGGCUAAUACCGGAUAGGAGCUCCUGCUGCAUGGUGGGGGUUGGAAAGUUUCGGCGGUUGGGGAUGGACUCGCGGCUUAUCAGCUUGUUGGUGGGGUAGUGGCUUACCAAGGCUUUGACGGGUAGCCGGCCUGAGAGGGUGACCGGCGACAUGAGGAAUGAGCGAGGGCGCAGCCUCGUACGGGAGGCAGCAGGGGGGAAUAUGGCACACGGGGCUGGAGUGUGAGGCAGCGGCGCCGGGGGCGGGAUGAGGGUCUUCGGGGGGAGAACAGCUAUCGCCUAUGACGAAGCGGGAAUGACGGUAAGGGAUAAAGAAGCACCGGCUAACUACGUG